rnacentral:precursor_RNA from 10 species
UGCUGUUAGCUAUGAAAAAUGCAGACUGUUAGGCUGAUGGUUUCUGCACAGGGUGUAAUAAUAACGAACUCUGCAGGUUCACAUCAGCCCUAUGGAAUGUGUUUGGCAGCAAAGACAAUGCUG